rnacentral:lncRNA from 1 species
UUUUUUUUCCCCCAGAGAGCAGCUUGCCUAAGGUGUUCACGUAUCCACCCAACUGAAAUUUAAUCAUUAAUGUAGCACAUUGCCAGAGAGAUGAAAGGCAACAAACUGGCAUAAGUUAGUUACAUCUCAGGAGAAAAACCAACAUAACAAAGUCCUGUCAGAGUAAGAGAUAGGAACUCAAGGACAACAUGGAUUUUGUUUUGCACCAAAGAAAGGUUUCUACUGACCAACUUACACUUAUUUAUUCGUUUUCUCAUUUUCUUUACCAGCACUACCACCAAUAUGACUGAUGACAUAAAUUUUUAAAGUAAAGGAUGAUAAAAAUGGUGAAGUCUGACAUAACUGCUAGAAGGAGGAUAAGGACUAUUUUGCAAGGCUGUUCUAAUAUUUUGUGUUUUAAAUAUAUAGGAAAAUAAUGUUACUGUCAACAUGAAUACAAAGGCUUGCAGGAGACAAUUUGAAGGCACUAGUGAAGGUGCUAGAUCAUCAAAAGCAGAGUCACAAGUUCAAAUACCUACAAGGCCACACAGGUAAUGUAAGUAAUGGAACUGGUCUAACAUAAAAACAUAGGGAGUGGUCCUACAUCGGAAAGCACCUGCUCUGCUUGGAAAUGCAGCCCUACUCUACACCAUCAGGUCACUGCUGUGAGGGAAUUGAAGAAUGUAGUGCCAGAUCUGAUUUUUCAAGAGAAUCUGAAAAUCUGGAUUCUUAUGUUAAUUCUUUAAAUUUUUAUCAAACUGAAAAGGACAAAAGAAAAUCAAAUAUAAGCCAUCUUGAGCUCAAAAGUUGCUAUGUGUGAUCUCUGUUCUAGAAAGAAAAAAAUAAGGAAAAUAUUGCUCUGAAAUUCAGCUUGUAUUAACAAAAAUAUAACAAAGCUCUAGAAACACCAAUAUUUUUCAUCAUUAGCUCUGGGUUGUGAUGCAAUUUAGCUUACCCUUUUGUUUAAUGUUGAAGAAAAAAUACACAGAAUUACCCUGGGCAGGCAUUGUUUGUCAACGGAGGGGACCCAAAGGUCACCGGGACCUGGGGUCAACUUGGAUAUUGGUCUCGAUGCCUGAACCACUGGAGCAAAACCAGGCAUUAUAAAUUAGAAACUCUUCAGAAAAGGCCCUUGUUUAAUUUCCUAAUCUUGGUGCACAUAGCCUUAAGAGGGAGAGGAAUGUGAUUUUAAUCUCUUUUUCCUAUGUAAAUGUCACUCAAAUGUAUCAGCAUAUUUGAAGAGUAUGCUUAUGUUACUUCCAGUCCCUCUAUGACCUGAAAUGUCAACACAUAGUCAAUAGCUCAUUUCCUGUUGAUCUUUUAGAACUAAUUUUUUUUAAUGAAACCAAUUUUUUUUAAUUGAAGUAUGGUCAACAAACACUAAGAUUCAUUUUUUAAACUCUCCUGCUCCCUAUUAAUACAAACACUGCUGUAGGCUCUGCAUACACCUUUCAGGCAAUUGGAUGUCUUCCAGGAUCACCCACUCACCUCCCAUCAGCAUGACCUGGUUGUUUCUCAGUCUUCAAAAUGGAUGCAAGCUGGGACUAAGCUCUACUUAACAGAGAUCCUCCCUUAUCCUCCAGAGUUUACUUUCUUUAGUC